rnacentral:misc_RNA from 1 species
AACGCACGAGACCUGCGGACCUGCGGGGGAUCAUUAGUGAACGCCCUCACGGGCUUAUAACUAUUCCAAACCUCUGUGAACCGUGCCCUUCGGGGCUAUUUUACAAACAUGGUGUAAUGAACGUCAUAUAUCAUAACAAAACAAAACUUUUAACAAUGGAUCUCU